AUUGAACGCUGGCGGCAGGCCUCACACAUGCCAGUCGGACGAGUGGCGGACGGGUGCGUAAUGUCUGGGAAACUGCGUGAUCGAGGGGGAUAACUACUGGAAACGGUAGCUAAUACAGCAUACCAUCACAUGUGGCCAGCUGGGAUUGGCUGGUUGGUGGGGUAACGGCUCACCAAGGCGACGAUCCCUAGCUGGUCUGAGAGGAUGACCAGCCACACUGGAACUGAGACACGGCCCAGACUCCUACGGGAGGCAGCAGUGGGGAAUAUUGCACAAUGGGCGCAAGCCGGAUGCAGCCAUGCCGCGUGUAUGAAGAAGGCCUUCGGGUUGUAAAGUACUUUCAGCGGGGAGGCGUUACCCGCAGAAGAAGCACCGGCUAACUCCGUGCCAGCAGCCGCGGUAAUUC
rnacentral:rRNA from 1 species